GCAGGGGUUCCCGAGUGGCCAAAGGGGUCAGGUUCAGGACCUGAUGGUUAGUCCUCCGUGGGUUCGAACCCCACCCCCUGCACCA
rnacentral:tRNA from 1 species